UUACGGCCAUAUCACGUUGAAACACCGGUUUCUGUACGAUCACUGUAGUUAAGCAACGUUGAUCCAGGUCAGUACCUAGAUGGGUGACAGCUUGGAAAUAUCUAG